rnacentral:lncRNA from 1 species
GUGUAUCCAAUGUGUGGUGAUAGAGCCCACUUUUAUAUUUCUAUUCUCAAGUUGUCAAUUUAUCGAUUAAUGAAUUGUGUAUGAAAUGUAAUGCAUGUGAAUAGAAUGUUAGAUGUAUUAGAAAGAGAUGCAUUGAUAGGAGGUUGCGCGCGGACCAAGAUUGAGUUGCCAAGUCACGGGAAAAUCCUACGAAAACUAUCAACACCUGGAUCUGAAACGGAAACACAAAAAAAAAAAGAAAAUUAAACUCCAAGACCAAGAAAACCAAAUUGAAAUAGAAAUAGGAUUCUUGGGUGGCAAGAAAGAUUGAAAAUUAUGAAUAAAGGACAUUUCUUGAUGCCAAAGAAUGUUGCAAAACAGAUUCUUGAAUCUUGGAAUGGCUGAAAAUGCAACAAGAACAAUUAAACCAAGUUAAUCAAUCAAUCGGC